UACGUAGGGGGCAAGCGUUAUCCGGAAUCACUGGGCGUAAAGGGUGCGUAGGCGGCCUGACAAGUCAGAGGUGAAAGGCUACGGCUUAACCGUAGUAAGCCUUUGAAACUGCUGAGCUUGAGUGCAGGAGAGGCAAGUGGAAUUCCUGGUGUAGCGGUGAAAUGCGCAGAUAUCAGGAGGAACACCAGUGGCGAAGGCGGCUUUCUGAGCCACGACUGACGCUGAGGCACGAAAGCGUGGGGAGCAAAUA
rnacentral:rRNA from 1 species